rnacentral:rRNA from 1 species
AUGAACGCUGGCGGCGUGCCUAAUACAUGCAAGUCGAGCGAACAGACGAGGAGCUUGCUCCUCUGACGUUAGCGGCGGACGGGUGAGUAACACGUGGAUAACCUACCUAUAAGACUGGGAUAACUUCGGGAAACCGGAGCUAAUACCGGAUAAUAUAUUGAACCGCAUGGUUCAAUAGUGAAAGACGGUUUUGCUGUCACUUAUAGAUGGAUCCGCGCCGCAUUAGCUAGUUGGUAAGGUAACGGCUUACCAAGGCAACGAUGCGUAGCCGACCUGAGAGGGUGAUCGGCCACACUGGAACUGAGACACGGUCCAGACUCCUACGGGAGGCAGCAGUAGGGAAUCUUCCGCAAUGGGCGAAAGCUUGACGGAGCAACGCCGCGUGAGUGAUGAAGGUCCUCGGAUCGUAAAACUCUGUUAUUAGGGAAGAACAAAUGUGUAAGUAACUAUGCACGUCUUGACGGUACCUAAUCAGAAAGCCACGGCUAACUACGUG